AUGGAUUUGCUUUUGUUGAUUGUGUUGUUCUACAAUUUUGGGUUGGUUCUGUUAAUGAUGAAACUGCCACUACUGCUUCGGGGCAUUACUUAUGCAGGUAUGCCUUUUAAUUUUCUUGCUUAUAUAAAUGCCUUGCUGUAUUGUGCAAUACUAAAAUUAAAAAAAAAUUUGAAUUCCUAUUGGAAUUUGAUUGUAGGUCUACAGAAGUAAAGCAGAGAUAAAAUGUUGCAGGAAUGGAAUUUGAAUUCCAUAUUUCUAUGUUGCAGGAAUGGCCAAAGAAGCAUAGAAAGCACUCAGAAAGUAUACAUUAAUUGGUGAGUUUAGAGAAACUAUUUAGAUGCUCAGGUAUAUAUUAUUUCUCUCUAUUUUCUCUUUUUUCAUAUCUAUUUUUCAUUAUGUGUGUCAAGUUUAUUGAUUUUUCUUCUUCUC
rnacentral:misc_RNA from 1 species